rnacentral:rRNA from 1 species
GACGAACGCUGGCGGCGUGCUUAACACAUGCAAGUCGAACGAAAAGGCCCUGCUUUUGUGGGGUGCUCGAGUGGCGAACGGGUGAGUAACACGUGAGUAACCUGCCCUUGACUUUGGGAUAACUUCAGGAAACUGGGGCUAAUACCGGAUAGGAGCUCCUGCUGCAUGGUGGGGGUUGGAAAGUUUCGGCGGUUGGGGAUGGACUCGCGGCUUAUCAGCUUGUUGGUGGGGUAGUGGCUUACCAAGGCUUUGACGGGUAGCCGGCCUGAGAGGGUGACCGGACACAUUGGGACUGAGAUACGGCCCAGACUCCUACGGGAGGCAGCAGUGGGGAAUAUUGCACAAUGGGCGGAAGCCUGAUGCAGCAACGCCGCGUGCGGGAUGACGGCCUUCGGGUUGUAAACCGCUUUCGCCUGUGACGAAGCGUGAGUGACGGUAAUGGGUAAAGAAGCACCGGCUAACUACGUG